GACGAACGCUGGCGGCGUGCUUAACACAUGCAAGUCGAACGAAGUGGAGAACGGGUGAGUAAUUCGUGAGUAACCGGCCCUCCUUUCUGGGAUAAGCCUUGGAAACGGGGUAUAAUACCGAAUUAAGGGGGAUGGGCUCGCGGCCGUUCAGCUUGUUGGGGGGGUGAUGGCCUACCAAGGCGGUGACGGGUAGCCGGCUUGAGAGGGUGAACGGCCACCUUGGGACGUGGAUACGGCCCAGACUCCUACGGGAGGCAGCAGUGGGGGAUAUUGCACACUGGGCGAAAGCCUGAGGCAGCGACGCCGCGUGGGGGAUGAAGGCUUUCGGAUUGUAAACCUCUUUCGCUAUCGACCGGGUAGGUGGAGAAGAAGCGCCGGCUAUCUCCGUGCCAGCAGCCGCGGUAAUAC
rnacentral:rRNA from 1 species